rnacentral:misc_RNA from 1 species
UAAACUCUCAAGCUAAGCUUGGUAUUGGGAACCAUCCUCCGAGGAUGAUCCCGCAACUCGUCGAGCAUGAUUUCAACACUUCAAACGUAGCAAGAUUUACUCGUUUAGUGGAUGCUGAAGUCGUCGCCGGAUGAAGAUUUUAACUUCCCAA